GAUGAACGCUGGCGGCGUGCCUAAUACAUGCAAGUCGAGCGAACAGACGAGAAGCUUGCUUUUCUGAUGUUAGCGGCGGACGGGUGAGUAACACGUGGAUAACCUACCUAUAAGACUGGGAUAACUUCGGGAAACCGGAGCUAAUACCGGAUAAUAUUUUGAACCGCAUGGUUCAAAAGUGAAAGACGGUCUUGCUGUCACUUAUAGAUGGAUCCGCGCUGCAUUAGCUAGUUGGUAAGGUAACGGCUUACCAAGGCAACGAUGCAUAGCCGACCUGAGAGGGUGAUCGGCCACACUGGAACUGAGACACGGUCCAGACUCCUACGGGAGGCAGCAGUAGGGAAUCUUCCGCAAUGGGCGGAAGCCUGACGGAGCAACGCCGCGUGAGUGAUGAAGGUCUUCGGAUCGUAAAACUCUGUUAUUAGGGAAGAACAUAUGUGUAAGUAACUGUGCACAUCUUGACGGUACCUAAUCAGAAAGCCACGGCUAACUACGUG
rnacentral:rRNA from 1 species